GGACCGUCUAUGAAGGAUGAGAUACAUAUACAUCAGAGGAGAUGUGAGUAAAUGUGGAUUUCGCUGCAGAUAUGCUGCUCUAAAUGGAGAAAAACAAACAUCAGAAAUUCAUUGAUCUGUUGGGAGCUGAAAUUUAGUCGAGACAUCAGACUACAUAUUGAUGGCCCUCACCCCAAAAUGAAGACUGUUUGGUUUUGAUUGCAGUUUGGACUGCCUUAAUCCCAGGAAAUAUAGCAAUUUCCGGUACUCAUUUUAUCAUGUCAUUUCCUAACUACGUGAUGAACGAUUCACCAACAAACGAAAUUAGUUUAUACCUGUCGACUCCAGUGAAUCGUAACGUGAAGGUUAACAUAACAGCGCCAGAAUAUAAAGGAACCUACAGAAUUAACAAACAUUUUAUAUUAACGCCUGGUACUUCAACGGAAGUCACAAUAAACAGGGUAUUUCGCAUGCCGCCUGGAACUAGCAUCUCGGCAAGGACACUGGUGAUCACGGCCGUUGAUCUAAUAGACGAUGUGGGCAGCAAUACGUAUGAGUUACGUGGAGAUGCGUUCAACGCGAUACC